AAAAGAAACUAACUAGGAUUCCCUUAGUAACGGCGAGUGAACCGGGAUGAGCUCAAAUUUAAAAUCUGGCGUCUUCUCAGGCGUCCGAGUUGUAAUCUAUAGAGGCGUUUUCCGCGCCGGACCGCGUCCAAGUCUCUUGGAAUAGAGUAUCAAAGAGGGUGACAAUCCCGUACUUGACGCGACAACCGGUGCUCUGUGAUACGUUCUCAAUGAGUCGAGUUGUUUGGGAAUGCAGCUCUAAAUGGGUGGUAAAUUCCAUCUAAGGCUAAAUAUUGGCGAGAGACCGAUAGCGAACAAGUACCGUGAGGGAAAGAUGAAAAGCACUUUGGAAAGAGAGUUAAACAGCACGUGAAAUUGUUAAAAGGGAAACGAUUGAAGUCAGUCGUGUGAAAGGUAUUCAGCCGUCUCUGGCGGUGUAUUUGCCUUUCACGGGUCAACAUCAGUUUGAUCCGGUAGAAAAAGGCGGGAGGAAGGUGGCACCCUCAGGUGUGUUAUAGCCUCCUGUCAUAUGU
rnacentral:rRNA from 1 species